AUGGAUAUCCUGGAGGCCGGGAUUCGGAUCCUAUUCCCGGGAUUUCUCACCUCCGAGAUUCCCAAAUCCUUCCUGAUCCCUGGUCAGACAUUCCCUGGAUGUUCCCGUCACCUCUUUGGGACAUUCCCAGCCCCUUCCAACACCCCCAGGAGCUUCCCAAUCCCUGUCCGAGGGUCAGACAUUCCCUGGAUAUCUCCAUCCCAGCGAUCCGGCAGUGGGAUCAUCCCUGCGGAUCCCGAGGGAAUCACGGAUUCCCUGGAUGCACCAAACCCCCACAGAUCCACAACAUUCCCAAUUCCCGCUUCCCUGCUCUGGGAAGCGCGGCCGGAACCGCCCCAGCAUCGGGAAAACCUCGAUUCCAGCAGAUCCCAGGCAAUUCCCGAUCUCGGGCUCGCACAUUCCCAAAUUCCCGAGCCCCCCCAACUCCGUCUCCACGAUCCACCCCGGAGCUCAUCCCUGUUUUCCCACCUGCCCGGAAUGUUGGGAAGGGAAUCGCGACCGCCGCUCUCAACUCCUGCUCCCGUUCCCUCGCCUCUUCCCGGCGUUUCCCGAGGCUGGGAAGCGGCUCUCACCUUCCCGCAGGAUCCCGGCGAUUCCCGGUGGGAUCGGAUCCCGGCUCCCGGUGGGAUUGGGAUCCCGCGGGUGCUGGAGUCACUUCCAGAAAGCGCUUCCCGGGAGGAAAAAGUGGGAAGCAGGAAAACUCCUGGAUCCCCUCACCUGCUCGGGGGGAUCCCACCCGUGUCCCGCGGAGCUUUGGGAUCAGCCGGGAAAUUCGGGCGCGGACCCCAGGGAAUCCUUCCCGCUCCUCUCCCGGCGCACGGGGAUCCCCCCCCGGAUCCCGGGAAAAGCGGGAGCGGCUCCCGCGGCGCGGAAGGAGCCGGGGCAGGAAGGGGGAAGGAGCGGGAGGCGGUCCCGGGGCGCCGCCACUCCCCCGGGAAGCGGCGGCACCUUCCCGAUCCUGGGAUGCCCGGGAUCCUGGGAAUUCUGUCCCGAGGAGCCUCCCCGCAGGACGAGCCCCGAUCCCGAUCCCGAUCCCGAUCCCGGAGUGGUUUAGGGAACGCUGGGAAUGGCAGGAGGAAAAGCGGGAAGAGGAGGGGAGCCAUGGGGUGCCCCUCAUCCCACAGUUUGGGGGUGGCAUCCCGGGAUGCGCUGGGAAUUCCAAGUGGGAAUGGGGAAUCGGCGCGAGGUGAGGCGGGUGGGCGCUUCCCUAAAUUCCAGGUGGGAAUUCCUGUGGAGCUGCAGCCCCUGCCGGGAUUCUCCCACAUCCCGUUCCUGGCCCAGAGGAUCCUUCCCUGCGUGGGAUCCACCCGGGAAUGGCGUCCAGGGACAGCCGGCUUCCCAUUCCCAUUCCCAUUCCCAUCCCAUUCCCAUUCCUUCCUCUUCCCUCAGCUCCUUCUCCUUCCCUGCUGCUCCCAAAUUUUCCCCGCUCCAGGUGGGACAACCUGGACACGACCCCUGAAAGAUGGGAAGGAAUCCCAAGGGAUGUGGGGCAUCCCAAGGAAUCCGGCGCUGCCCCGUUCUCCAAAACCCACGGCGAAUUCCGUUCUCCCAUUCUUUGGAAUUCCACACCCUGGAUAA
rnacentral:lncRNA from 13 species